rnacentral:rRNA from 1 species
GGGAACAUACCCUUUUCUACGGAAUAGCUCUGGGAAACUGGAAUUAAUACCGUAUACGCCCUACGGGGGAAAGAUUUAUCGGGGAAGGAUUGGCCCGCGUUGGAUUAGCUAGUUGGUGGGGUAAAGGCCUACCAAGGCGACGAUCCAUAGCUGGUCUGAGAGGAUGAUCAGCCACAUUGGGACUGAGACACGGCCCAAACUCCUACGGGAGGCAGCAGUGGGGAAUAUUGGACAAUGGGCGCAAGCCUGAUCCAGCCAUGCCGCGUGAGUGAUGAAGGCCUUAGGGUUGUAAAGCUCUUUCACCGGAGAAGAUAAUGACGGUAUCCGGAGAAGAAGCCCCGGCUAACUUCGUGCCAGCAGCCGCGGUAAUACGAAGGGGGCUAGCGUUGUUCGGAAUUACUGGGCGUAAAGCGCACGUAGGCGGACUUUUAAGUCAGGGGUGAAAUCCCGGGGCUCAACCUCGGAACUGCCUUUGAUACUGGAAGUCUUGAGUAUGGAAGAGGUAAGUGGAAUUGCGAGU